UACCGAAGUUUUCCUCGGUAGUUAACUGUAGCCGGUUCUACAUUUCGGCAGUUAACUGCCGAGAGAUAU
rnacentral:pre_miRNA from 1 species